UGGGGAAUAUUGGACAAUGGGCGAAAGCCUGAUCCAGCCAUGCCGCGUGUGUGAAGAAGGUCUUCGGAUUGUAAAGCGCUUCAAGUUGGGAGGAAGGGCAGUAAGCGAAUACCUUGCUGUUUUGACGUUACCGACAGAAUAAGCACCGGCUAACUCUGUGCCAGCAGCCGCGGUAAUACAGAGGGUGCAAGCGUUAAUCGGAAUUACUGGGCGUAAAGCGCGCGUAGGUGGUUCGUUAAGUUGAAUGUGAAAGCCCCGGGCUCAACCUGGGAACUGCAUCCAAAACUGGCGAGCUAGAGUAGGGCAGAGGGUGGUGGAAUUUCCUGUGUAGCGGUGAAAUGCGUAGAUAUAGGAAGGAACACCAGUGGCGAAGGCGACCACCUGGGCUCAUACUGACACUGAGGUGCGAAAGCGUGGGGAGCAAACAGG
rnacentral:rRNA from 1 species